UGAUAUUGGUAACAGGAUCUUUGCAUAAUAUCUUUACAUAAUACAUCAUUCAUUUUGAGUGCUGUUAUAGAUUUUCUUUUGUAGUUUCUCUUUUUCAAGUGCAAAGAAAUAACUGGUGUUUCUUUCUCCCUCUUCAAUCCAUUUUUCUCUUGACCUUACAAAGGCACCCUUUGAUCCAUGUAAAACUGUUCUAAUUCUAGUUGUAAAGACUUAAAUACAGACUCCUCCUCUUGAGAUAGAUGAUCUUUCUUUAGAAAACUGUCACACUUGCUCAUCCUCUCUUUUUCUCUAAGAUUCUUUAAGUGCUUCAGCUUUUUGGCACAUUUUAAUGGCUACAAAUCUGACUUUAUAUUUGAAAAAUUCCCAUCUACUUCCAUGACCCAAGUCUUCUCUCUCAAAAAUAUCUUUGGAUAACGAUGAAUUUCCAAUGAAAAUAUAAUCUUUGUUGUUUAAUUUCCAUUAUCCUCGAAUACCCUUUUGUGACAUAGUUUUGUUGAGUCCAGGUAUAACCCUUUGAAUCCAGAUUGAAAUAACACCAGGCAUCAUCAACACAGAGAUCCUUGUAAUGUAGUGAUGAUGUUGCUAUUUUGAGAGAUUUGACUCAUUCUGGGAGGAAAAUGAUCUGCAGAGUCAUCAAUUGUUUUGGUUAAAAUCUCCUGAGAGAAUUAGAAAAGCCUCUUGAGUAUUUGUUGCGUAAAUCCUGUCGUUUUCUGGUUAGUUGGGAAGGGUUUUAGUUGGAGCAUGUGGGUUAUGUCCAUACACAUUACAGAUGAUGAAACUAGCAUUGUCAAGUUUAACAGUUGCUAUGACCCAUCUAACCAUUCUGUAAAGAUGUGGACUCUAGAACGUCUCCUUUACACUUGUGGAGAAGCGUCUAAACACCAGAGAGAGGCCAUGACAGAGAUAGGCCAUGUCAGAGAGAGGCCAUGACAAAGAGAGGCCAUGUCAGAGAGAGGACCUGUCAGAGAGAGGCCAUGACAGAGAGAGGCCAUGACAGAGAGAGGCCAUGUCAGAGAGAGGCCAUGACAGAGAGAGGCCAUGACAAAGAGAGGCCAUGACAGAGAGAGGCCAUGAGAGAGAGAGGCCAUGACAGAGAGAGGCCAUGACAGAGAGAGGCCAUGUCAGAGAGAGGCCAUGUCAGAGAGAGGCCAUGUCAGAGAGAGGCCAUGUCAGAGAGAGGCCAUGUCAGGAGAGCGGAGGCAGCCAGGAGAGCGGAGGCAGCCAGGAGAGCGGAGGCAGCCAGGAGAGCGGAGGCAGCCAAGAGAGCGGAGGCAGCCAGGAGAGCGGAGGCAGCCAGGAGAGUGGAGGCAGCAGGAGAAGGGAACCAGCGAUACGAGGGAACACGGCUGGCAAGGAAGCCCGAGAGGCAGACCCAAAAUAUUUUUGGGGGAUUUUUUUUGGUGGGGGGCACACGGGAGUGUCGCAGAGUCAGGAGUCAGACCUGAGCCAACUCCCCGUGCUUACCGUAAGGAGACGAGGAUGGAACCAGAGCCCGUCGGGGUGGAAUUGGGAGGUGAGCGAAGCAGAGACAGUGAAGGAGUUGAUGGGGAGAUUGGAGGAGAGCGACAGAAGCAAGGCAGAGACAGUGAAGGAGUUGAUGGGGAGAUUGGAGGAGAGAGACGGAAGCGAGGCAGAGACAGUGAAGGAGUUGAUGGGGAGAUUGAAGGUGAGCGAAGGGAGCGAAGCAGAGAUAGUGAAGGAGUUAAUGGGGAGAUUGGAGGAGAGAGUAAUGAGGGAGUUGCUGUGUUGGUGCAUGAGGCACGACAUCCGCCCGACGGAGCGUGUCUGGGAUUUGAUGUCACCUGAGUCAGCUCUCCAUACUCGUCCUGAGGUGCGUGCUAGCCGUCUGGUGAAGACUGUGCCAGCCCCACGCACCAGGCCUUCUGUGCGCCUCCCUAGCCCUGCACGUCUUGUGCCAGCUUGGCGCUACAGAUCUCCAGUAUGCGUUCUUAGCCCAGUGCGCUACAUUCCAGCUCCCCGCAUCUGGUGGGCUAGUGUGAGGAUCCAGCCAGGACGGAUGGUGCCAGCCCUGCUCUCCAGACCUCCAGUGCGUCUCAUCGGGCCAGGAUAUCCUGCGCCGGCUCUAAGCACGGUUUCCCCAGUUCGCCAGGAGAUCCCAGUGCGGCCUGUUCCAGCUCCCCGCACGUGCCGAGCUAGAGUGGGCAUUCAGCCUGGAAGAGUGGUGCCAAGGCUACGCACCAGCUCUCCAGUGCUCCCAUACAGCCCGGUCUAUCCUGUGCCUCCUCCACAGACCAGGCCUCCAGUAGGUCUCCACAACCCGGUCUGUCCUGUGCCUCCUCCACGCACCAGGCCUCCAGUAGGUCUCCCCAGCCUGGUGAGUCCUGUGCCU
ensembl:lncRNA